AGCAGCGUGGCGCAGAUGGAAGCGCGCGGGGCCCAUAUCCUGGUGUGUUACCCCGAGGUCACUUGCUCGAAACAAGCUGCUGCUA